rnacentral:rRNA from 1 species
GCUUGUCUCAAAGAUUAAGCCAUGCAUGUCUAAGUAUAAACUGCUUUAUACUGUGAAACUGCGAAUGGCUCAUUAAAUCAGUUAUAGUUUAUUUGAUGGUACCUUACUACUCGGAUAACCGUAGUAAUUCUAGAGCUAAUACGUGCGUAAAUCCCGACUUCUGGAAGGGACGUAUUUAUUAGAUAAAAGGCCGACCGGGCUUGCCCGACUCGCGGUGAAUCAUGAUAACUUCACGAAUCGCAUGGCCUCGUGCCGGCGAUGUUUCAUUCAAAUUUCUGCCCUAUCAAUUGGCGAUGGUAGGAUAGAGGCCUACCAUGGUGUUAACGGGUGACGGGGGAUUAGGGUUCGAUUCCGGAGAGGCAGCCUGAGAAACGGCUACCACAUCCAAGGAAGGCAGCAGG